rnacentral:rRNA from 1 species
CGGGGUGAGUAAUGCUUGGGAAUCUGGCUUAUGGAGGGGGAUAACUACGGGAAACUGUAGCUAAUACCGCGUAGUGUCGAGAGACGAAAGUGCGGGACCGAAAGGCCGCAUGCCAUGAGAUGAGCCCAAGUGGGAUUAGGUAGUUGGUGGGGUAAAGGCCUACCAAGCCUGCGAUCUCUAGCCGGUCUGAGAGGAUGGCCAGCCACACUGGAACUGAGACACAGUCCAG